rnacentral:rRNA from 1 species
UGGGGAAUAUUGGACAAUGGGGGAAACCCUGAUCCAGCAAUGCCGCGUGUGCGAUGAAGGCCUGAGGGUUGUAAAGCACUUUCGUUGGGGAGGAAAUGCUCAAAGCUAAUACCUUUGAGAGCUGACGUUACCUAAAGAAGAAGCACCGGCAAACCCUGUGCCAGCAGCCGCGGUAAUACAGAGGGUGCAAGCGUUAAUCGGAGUUACUGGGCGUAAAGGGCGCGUAGGCUGAUGUUUAAGUUAAUUGUGAAAUCCCUGGGCUUAACCUAGGAAUUGCAGUUAAUACUGGACAUCUAGAGUAUGGUAAGAGGAAAGUGGAAUUCUGGUGUAGUGGUUAAAUACGUAGAUAUCGAGAAGAACACCGGUGGCGAAGGCGACUUUCUGGACCAAUACUGACGC